UAAUACGGAGGAUCCGAGCGUUAUCCGGAUUUAUUGGGUUUAAAGGGUGCGCAGGCGGGUUAUUAAGUCGGUGGUGAAACUCCCGGGGCUCAACCCCUGGCUUGCUCAUCGAAACUGGUUACCUUGAGUGUGGGUGAGGCAGGCGGAAUUCGUGGUGCUAGCGRUAGUAAAUGCAUAGAUAUCACGAGGAAACUCCGAUCGCGUAGGCAGCUUGCCAUUCCAUAACUGACGCUCAUGCACGAAGGCGUGGGGAUCAAACAGGAUUAGAUACCCUGGUAGUCCACGCGGUAAACUAUGAUUACUGGUUGUUCGCGAUACACUGUGAGCGACUGAGCGAAAGCRUUAAGUAAUCCACCUGGGGAGUACGUUCGC
rnacentral:rRNA from 1 species